rnacentral:rRNA from 1 species
UACGGAGGGUGCAAGCGUUAUCCGGAUUCACUGGGUUUAAAGGGUGCGUAGGCGGGCAGGUAAGUCAGUGGGGAAAUCUCCGAGCUUAACUCGGAAACUGCCGUUGAUACUAUUUGUCUUGAAUAUUGUGGAGGUAAGCGGAAUAUGUCAUGUAGCGGUGAAAUGCUUAGAUAUGACAUAGAACACCAAUUGCGAAGGCAGCUUACUACACAACGAUUGACGCUGAGGCACGAAAGCGUGGGGAUCAAACAGG